UCCUGUUUCUUGCCUCGUCCAUGUUUCAUGCCACGCCAAAAACGACUAAGCGACAGAGCACAAAUAUUUGAAUCAAAGACGCCAUGUGGACACCUUCAAAAUGGAUAAACCCCAGGAAGAACUUUGACAGGAUGUUGUUUACUCUGCUGAUCAAUAAUACUUGUGUUGAAAAGCGGUUUCCUUCCAAUCAUGUGAGCAGAUAACUCAAACCCUGAGAUGUUUACCUUCCAGUUGAAGGAACUAAAUAUUUCAACAUCAGCUGUGCGUCAGCUGCUGAAACCGGGAUUCCUGGACGCCAAAAGUGCACGAAAACAGAGUGUUUAUUAAAGUGUGUAUUAAACUUUUACAAAAUCCAUUUCAUAACACAAUAUUACCACAUUAUAACGGCUGGAUGAACCUUGAAUGAACCCAAGUCAAUGCUGUUGUAGGAGAUAAAGCUGCAUGAGCUCCGCCUGAUUUAUGCUAACAAUCUCCUCAAAUCAUUUUUUCCCCAAUGCAGACAUCUUGUAAGAGCAUCAGCACCCCAUGGUACAUAUAUAUAGUGUUAUCAUCAAUUAUAUGCAAAUCUCAAAUGAGCAUGCAUCACCUCUGGAUGAUUUGUGUCAGUAAUUAGAUGCCAAGAGGCAGGACGGCCCUGCCUGUUUGAAAUGGCAGGCUCUCUGUGCUGCUGUUAUCUGGAAAGUCACCUGGGAAAUGGCGGAUUCCUUGAAAUAGAAAUGCACAAGUCAGGUUUUUGAGUGGAUGGUUAUUGCUAUGAAGGAGGUGGUAAAAAAAGAAAAACAUAAUGUUUGCUACUGAAAUGA